rnacentral:rRNA from 1 species
AUUGAACGCUGGCGGCAGGCCUAACACAUGCAAGUCGAACGAGUGGCGGACGGGUGAGUAAUGUCUGGGAAACUGCCCGCUGGAGGGGGAUAACUACUGGAAACGGUAGCUAAUACCGCAUACCAUCGGAUGUGCCCAGAUGGGAUUAGCUAGUGGGUGGGGUAACGGCUCACCUAGGCGACGAUCCCUAGCUGGUCUGAGAGGAUGACCGGCAACACGGGAACGGAGACACGGUCCGGACUCCUACGGGAGGAAGCAGUGGGGAAUAUUGGAAAAUGGGCGCAAGCCGGAUGCAGCCAUGCCGCGUGUAUGAAGAAGGCUUUCGGGUGGUAAAGUACUUUCAGUCGGGAGGCGUUACCGACAGAAGAAGCACCGGCUAACUCCGUGCCAGCAGCCGCGGUAAUAC